CACUCAAACAGCUGGGUGGAACAUCGAGCGUUUAAGAUCACAGCGUAACAUAAAUAAACCACACAGGGGCUCUGUCAGAGCCAGGCCGCGAGUGUGCGUGACUCUCUAACACACUUUCACACAACGCACUCUAGGAGACUUUCACACGGCACACGCUAACACACUUUCACACGACAUGCUCUGACACGCUUCAAACAGCACACUCUGUCACACUUCACACGACACACUUUCACACAGGACAGUUUCACACAGCACACUUUCACACGACACACUCUGUCACACUUUCAUACGACACACUUUCACAUGACACACUGACGCUUUCACACGACACACUUUCACACGACACACUCUGUCACACUUUCAUACGACACACUUUCAACACAGCACACUUUCACACACGACACACUGUGACAACGCUUUCACGUGACACACUUUCACAUGACACACUCUGACAUGCUUUCACACGACACACUUUCAUAUGACACACUCUGUCACACUUUCAUACGACACACUUUCACACAGCACACUUUCACACGACACACUCUGACACGCUUUCACGUGACACACUUUCACAUGACACACUGACGCUUUCACACGACACACUUUCAUAUGACACACUCUGUCACACUUUCAUACGACACACUUUCACACAGCACACUUUCACACGACACACUCUGUCACACUUUCAUACGACACACUUUCACAAGCACACUUUCACACGACACACUUUGUCACACUUUCAUACGACACACUUUCACACAGCACACUUUCACACGACACACUCUGACACGCUUUCACACGACACACUUUCACACGACACACUGACACACUUUCACACGACACACUUUCACACAGCACACUCUCACACGACACACUGACACACUUUCACACGACACACUUUCACACAGCACACUUUCACACAGCACACUUUCACACGACACACUCUGUCACACUAUCGCACGACACACUUUCACCACGACACACUGACACACUUUCACACGACACACUUUCACACAGCACACUCUCACACGACACACUCUGACACGCUUUCACACGACACACUCUGACACGCUUUCACAAGACACCCUAACACACUUUCUCACAGAAAACAAGAGGUGUUAUUGAGUUAUUUUGUCGGUCAGCUGACAGGGUGAGGUUCUAGCGUGGCAUUAGAUCAGCAGUGAAAACACGUUUGAAGUGAUGAUGAUGUAGCAAACAUUCUGCGUCUUUCUAAACGUAACAGCUCGCUGUGACAGCCAUGUUUAAUUACAGAACUGUUACGCUGAUGAUGUCGCAGGCGUAUUGAAGACCCACACAGAUUUUGUUCAUUUGGUUAAUGUCAUGUAGAAAGGCAAGUCACUGACUUCACUCUGCUGUUCUUUCUUUACAGCAGAAGUUUUUCCCGUCCCACCGCAGGGUUGCUUCUGAUUACAGCAUCGAUUCAUCGAGCACGGGGAAUUCACCAGACCUUCCUCAGGAGGACAACCUGAGGCCGAGGAGGAAUCUGUCCAGCACGGACGCGCACCUCCCCCACCUCCACCACCCUCACCACCAUGCUUCAAUGCUGGAGAAGGCCGGCAUUCUCAACAAGACCAAGAUAGCGGGAUAACGGGAAGAAGCUGAGGUACCGUAAACAACCUGGAAUCUGGCUUCGUAGCAAUUUUAUGCCUAAUAUAUAGUCAGGUCUGAGAGGGUUUAGGGGAACUGAUUUUUUAUUUUGCAACGCGAGAUUUUUCGUAAAAGUUUGCGCCCCCCUCCCUUGGUUUUGAAAUAGACAAUUGUUAAAUGUACGCGCUAUAUUUUAAGGUAAAGCUUCAAUCUGCCUCAAUUUUAAAGGUAUAUUUUUUUACCGAUCGAUUUUAAAAAGAGUAAAAUUUAAAAAAAAAAAAAAAAACGUUAAAAAAAACAAACGUGGAAAAUACGUGUCACCUCUCCUUCUACUGAAGUGCGUUACAUUUCUUCGUCUCUAUUUAGUCCUCAGGGGGUGAAAACUUUUGCACUUGGUUGUACGUAGGUUUUUCUGAAUGUAAAGUGAAUCAGUGCAUCCUUUAAAAUGGGUAUUAAGUGUGUGUGUGUGUGUGUGUGUGUGUGUGUGUGUGUGAUUACAGGAUCAUGAACAUUACACAGAUGAAGAGGACGAUGAGGUCAUGGAGAAAUCGCUCCAGCCUGUAGAGAGAGAGAGGAAGAACACCAGUGAGUGACACACACACACACACACACACACACACACACACACACACACACACACUGUAGUAGUAGAGACACUAGUUAUUCAGGAUUAUUGAGCAUAAGCAUGAAAGUGUAAAUGCAUUCAUUUGGAUCAGAUUUAUAAAUCUUUAUCCCGGACCGCUUCAGAAGGUCUGAGUUGCCAGAUAGUUCGAAUUCUAUUAAAGUACGGUGUAAGUGGAGAUUUCCUGUCGAAAGCUGUUUCGUUUUCUGGCGUUUCCUCUCACAGCGACGAGGCAGAGCUCAGGCGCGGCGGAUUCUGAGCAGGGCCGCGUUCGCGUCAAACUGCGCAAGUUCCUCCAGAGGAGACCUACGCUGCAGGCGGUCAAGGAGAAAGGCUACAUCAAAGACAGCGUGUUUGGCUGUCACUUGGACACCCUGUGUCAUCGGGAGAACACCACCGUCCCAAGAUUUGUGGAGAAAUGUAUAAAGUCCGUGGAGAGGAGAGGUAGGAGAGACGGCUGGACGGAUCGGGCUGUUGCUUUUUCCACACUAUUGUUCUAAACUUGAACUUGACCGAUUUGAGACCACGAGAGCAUAAGUCUGCACCCCCCAUCCCCACCCCCACCCACCCACCCAUAUGUUUUGAAUGCGGUAAAACAAAAUGUACCUGAAUUUUACUACAAAUUUAUCUACAAAUGAAAGAAAUUCCAAGUAUUUAAAAAAAAAACAAUGGCCACAAGACAACAAUUCAACGUAUCUCUGGUCCAAAUAUUAAAACAGAAGAUCCGAAACCAGCUCUGAGGAUAUGAAAGAU
ensembl:lncRNA